rnacentral:rRNA from 1 species
GUGUCAGCCGCCGCGGUAAAACGUAGGACGCAAGCGUUAUCCGGAGUUACUGGGCGUAAAGGGCGUGUAGGCGGCGCUUCAAGUUCGUCGUGAAAGACCCCGGCUCAACCGGGGGAGGUCGAGGGAGACUGAGGCGCUGGAGGACGGUAGAGGGACAGGGAAUUCCGGGUGUAGUGGUGAAAUGCGUAGAGAUCCGGAGGAACACCAGUGGCGAAGGCGCUGUCCUGGGCCGUUACUGACGCUGAGACGCGACAGCAUGGGGAGCGAACGGGAUUAGAUACCCUUGUAGUCC